GAGUUUGAUCCUGGCUCAGAUUGAACGCUGGCGGCAUGCCUAACACAUGCAAGUCGAACGGUAACAGGCCUUCGGGUGCUGACGAGUGGCGGACGGGUGAGUAACGCGUAGGAAUCUGCCUGGUAGUGGAGGACAACCCGGGGAAACUCGGGCUAAUACUGCAUACGCCCUACGGGGGAAAGCGGGGGAUCUUCGGACCUCGCGCUAUCAGAUGAGCCUGCGUUGGAUUAGCUUGUUGGUGGGGUAAAGGCCUACCAAGGCUGCGAUCCAUAGCUGGUCUGAGAGGAUGAUCAGCCACACUGGGACUGAGACACGGCCCAGACUCCUACGGGAGGCAGCAGUGGGGAAUAUUGGACAAUGGGGGCAACCCUGAUCCAGCAAUGCCGCGUGUGUGAAGAAGGCCUGCGGGUUGUAAAGCACUUUCAGUGGGGAAGAAAAGCGGGUGCUUAAUACGUGCCUGUCUUGACAUCACCCACAGAAGAAGCACCGGCUAACUCCGUGCCAGCAGCCGCGGUAAUACGGAGGGUGCGAGCGUUAAUC
rnacentral:ncRNA from 1 species